rnacentral:rRNA from 1 species
UACGUAGGAGGCGAGCGUUGUCCGGAAUUAUUGGGCGUAAAGAGCGUGUAGGCGGCCCGAUUAGUCCGCUGUGAAAGUCCAGGGCUCAACCCUGGAAUGCCGGUGGAUACUGUCGGGCUAGAGUCCGGAAGGGGCGAGUGGAAUUCCUGGUGUAGCGGUGAAAUGCGCAGAUAUCAGGAGGAACACCAAUGGCGAAGGCAGCUCGCUGGGACGUGACUGACGCUGAGACGCGAAAGCGUGGGGAGCAAACAGG